GGCCCUGUAGCCUAAUGGAUAAGGCGCCAGCCUCCGGAGCUGGAGAUUAUGGGUUCGAGUCCCAUCAGGGUCG
rnacentral:tRNA from 1 species